GACAGAGGUGCCGAGCGUUAGGCGGAAUCACUGGGCUUAAAGCGUGUGUAGGCGGGUCGUUAAGUACCUUGUGAAAUCCCACGGCUCAACCGUGGAACUGCUGGGUAUACUGGCGAUCUUGAGCAGUCUAGGGGCGAGCGGAACAAACGGUGGAGCGGUGAAAUGCGUAGAUAUCGUUUGGAACGCCAACGGUGAAAACAGCUCGCUGGGGACUUGCUGACGCUGAGACACGAAAGCCAGGGGAGCAAACGGG
rnacentral:rRNA from 1 species